AUCCUUUGUUGCCAGCGGUUCGGCCGGGAACUCAAAGGAGACUGCCAGUGAUAAACUGGAGGAAGGUGGGGAUGACGUCAAGUCAUCAUGGCCCUUACGAGUAGGGCUACACACGUGCUACAAUGGCGUAUACAAAGAGAAGCGACCUCGCGAGAGCAAGCGGACCUCAUAAAGUACGUCGUAGUCCGGAUUGGAGUCUGCAACUCGACUCCAUGAAGUCGGAAUCGCUAGUAAUCGUAGAUCAGAAUGCUACGGUGAAUACGUUCCCGGGCCUUGUACACACCGCCCGUCACACCAUGGGAGU
rnacentral:rRNA from 1 species